CAGUCGCCGCGGGAAUACGUAGGGGGCAAGCGUUAUCCGGAAUAACUGGGCGUAAAGGGUGCGCAGGUGGUUUAACAAGUUAGUGGUGAAAGGCAUAGGCUCAACCAACGUAAGCCAUUAAAACUGUUUAACUUGAGUGCAGGAGAGGAAAGUGGAAUUCCCAGUGUAGCGGUGAAAUGCGUAGAUAUUAGGAGGAAUACCAGUGGCGAAGGCGACUUUCUGGACUGCAACUGACACUGAGGCACGAAAGCGUGGGGAGCAAACAGGAUUAGAUACCCCUGUAGUCCCUGUCUCUUAUACC
rnacentral:rRNA from 1 species